GUCAUCAUAGCUCAGAUGGAUAGAGCAUUCGCCUCCUAAGCGAAGGGUCGGCGGUUCGACUCCGCCUGAUGACG
rnacentral:tRNA from 2 species